AUUGAACGCUGGCGGCAUGCUUUACACAUGCAAGUCGAACGGUAACAGCACUUCGGUGGCUGACGAGUGGCGAACGGGUGAGUAAUACAUCGGAACGUGCCUAGUAGUGGGGGAUAACUACUCGAAAGAGUAGCUAAUACCGCAUGAGAUCUAAGGAUGAAAGCAGGGGACCUUCGGGCCUUGCGCUACUAGAGCGGCUGAUGGCAGAUUAGGUAGUUGGUGGGAUAAAAGCUUACCGAGCCGACGAUCUGUAGCUGGUCUGAGAGGACGACCAGCCACACUGGGACUGAGACACGGCCCAGACUCCUACGGGAGGCAGCAGUGGGGAAUUUUGGACAAUGGGCGCAAGCCUGAUCCAGCAAUGCCGCGUGCAGGAUGAAGGCCUUCGGGUUGUAAACUGCUUUUGUACGGAACGAAAAGCCCUCUUCUAAUACAGGAGGGUCAUGACGGUACCGUAAGAAUAAGCACCGGCUAACUACGUG
rnacentral:rRNA from 1 species